UAGGUGAGGAUGUGUCAACGUGUAGGAAUGAUUUAAGGAUAUGUGGCCAGAAGGGGCACUGUGAGCUUGGAUUCCCAGUUGGAGUUUAGAUUUGGUGCUUCAUUUGGCCUCUGAGCUUCCAAAGGUCUCCAUUUGUAACACACUUAUGGCUGACAGCUGGGCUGAAGACCCUCCUGAGAGAGCCUCCAGUGUGGCAGCCACUGAAA